UAGGGAAUCUUCGGCAAUGGACGAAAGUCUGACCGAGCAACGCCGCGUGAGUGAAGAAGGUUUUCGGAUCGUAAAACUCUGUUGGUAAAGAAGAACGUUGGUGAGAGUGGAAAGCUCAUCAAGUGACGGUAACUACCCAGAAAGGGACGGCUAACUACGUGCCUG
rnacentral:rRNA from 1 species